rnacentral:rRNA from 1 species
AGGCAGCAGUGAGGAAUAUUGGACAAUGGAGGCAACUCUGAUCCAGCCAUGCCGCGUGCAGGAAGACUGCCCUAUGGGUUGUAAACUGCUUUUAUAUAGGAAGAAAAAGGAUCACGUGUGAUCUGUUGACGGUACUAUAUGAAUAAGGAUCGGCUAACUCC